rnacentral:rRNA from 1 species
CCCUUAGAUGUCCUGGGCUGCACGCGCGUUACACUGGCAGUUGCAACGAGUGUUUUCCUUUCUCGAAGGGGAUGGGUAAACUUUUCAACGGCUGCCGUGAUUGGGAUUGAACCUUGCAAUUAUUGUUCAUGAACGAGGAAUUCCUAGUAAGCGCAGUUCAUCAAACUGCGCUGAUUACGUCCCUGCCCUUUGUACACACCGCCCGUCGCUUGUACCGAUUGAAUGGUCCGGUGAGGACCUGGGACUGUUGAUUUCUUUUCUUCCUGCAAGGGAAGGAAUGGUCAAUGGAAGCUAGUUCAAACCUUACCAUUUAGAGGAACAAGAAGUCGUAACA